rnacentral:rRNA from 1 species
AUUGAACGCUGGCGGCAGGCCUAACACAUGCAAGUCGAGCGAGCGGCGGAAGGGUGAGUAAUGUAUGGGGACUGCCCGAUAGAGGGGGAUAAAUACGGGAAACGGUGGCUAAUACCGCAUACUAUCGGAUAACCCAUAUGGGAUUAGCUAGGCGGUGGGGUAAAGGGACACCAAGGCGAAGAUCUGUCGCUGGUCUGAGAGGAUGAUCAGCCAACCUGGGACGGAGACACGGCCCAGACUCCGACGGAGGCAGCAGUGGGGAAUAUUGCACAAUGGGCGCAAGCCUGAUGCAGCCAUGCCGCGUGUAUGAAGAAGGCCUUAGGGUUGUAAAGUACUUUCAGCGGGGAGGCGUUACCCGCAGAAUAAGCACCGGCUAACUCCGUGCCAGCAGCCGCGGUAAUUC